UCGGUAUCGGCACCAGCAUCAUCGCCGUGGGCGUCUGUCUGUCUGUUUGUCUGUCCGCCUGCCCGUCGGCUGACUUGUGCUGCCACUUGCUCCUGCUGCUGGCAGGCCCAUGAAAUGGCUGGAACUGGAGCACGCGACCCGAACAGCGGCCGGUCGUGUGGCAUUGGACCUGGCGCCGUGCCCCAACAAGUGCAACGGACGACGCUGACCUUUAUCUGCAUACAAACACACGUCCCGUGUUUGGGCCAAUAUUUCUAGGUCAGUGUUGCCUCAAGGUUACGGGAGCCGCAGACGCACACACAGCCACAGCCGCCGUAUCCCGGUGCGGAGACAUACCAGAAGGAUGCGUGGACAGGUGCCUGAAGGCGGUGUGGUGUGUUGACCUAGUCCCUCGGAUGAAAUCGAUACAUUUCCAUUGUUCAGUUGCCAUGCUAAUUGUGAGGCACUCAAGGAGGUGUCCUUUCCAAACAUUAAACACACAGUGCGACAGUCAUUACGAUUGCUAUGCAGAUAAAACAAGAUACGAGAUAAAAUCCUCA
rnacentral:lncRNA from 1 species